AUGGCGAUGUGCCCACUGGUCUUUGGACAGGGGAGUACCUUGCUCCGCUGCUUGAGACCUGGGCAAGCUGGCCCUGCUUGUCCCAAUGGUGGGGCCACCACCACUGAUUUAAGAUUAAUGCUCAAGUUUAUGAAGAUUCAUUAUUUUUAUUACUUCUCACCUUACAAGUAUUUGUUUGUCUUAGAAGUAAAGGAGACCAACUUUCUUUCUGCAGAAAUCUUUAAUGAUAAAGAUGAUCUUAAGCACCAAUCAUCACGUGAAGGCACAAAUAUUGAGUAUUUCUUAGUAGCAGCUGGACAAAGCCAUCUCUACCUGAUUAAUGAGUGGAUACCAUAUUGCAGUGCCAUUUGCUUCUUAAUGGACUUAAGACCUAUGGAAGCUAUUCCACAACCCCAAAUUAUAGUUGAGGAGCCCGCUAUAAUUCUGUGA
rnacentral:rRNA from 1 species